rnacentral:lncRNA from 1 species
GGUAUCUCGCUCGUAUGAUUGAUGCGAAAUGUGGCGCUGGGGUAGAACUAUCCGCUCCACAGCGGCAUUCUACAGGCAUCCCUUCACCGGGCAAAAGUGACCUCUUGAGGCCCAUCUUCAUGCUUGACAUUUUUCUUUGGACUCUUUUUCCACGGUCCAGUCCAGCUGUUUUUUAUAUAUAAGAGGCCAUCUUUGGAGGGAUGCUGUUUAUUGCACUCUGUGCUCUAGGAUAGUUGUUCCGUCCUGUAUUGUUACGGUCUCAUAGUUCCGACUUCGAAGGGAGCAUCAUGAAGGUUUUUCUGCGCGUCGUCGAAAUCCUCGCGGCUUUGUUUCUUGUAAUUGCAAUCGUCCGUGGUGCGCCGGCGCCUCAACCGAGCCCUGUAGCAAACCCGCAACUAUUUUGGCCAUUCAGUCUGUACCAGCCGUUUUAUUCGCCAGUAGUGGCACCAAGAUCACUCAUUAGUUGGCCGAUUCAACCCCUUACACUGGUUGCCAAUCCGGACCCCAGAAUCAUCCCCCAGACCAUCGAUCACUCAGACGAAAAGUCAUCGCAUGGUAGAAUAAAGAGAGACCUAGAAUCAGAUGGGACGACCACUUCUGGAGUUGAAGGAUCAGAGCCUAAAAACAUCCAGAAACGACAAGCAGCCUACUACCCAAUGACCUGGCCAAUGCCCAUUCUUCCGUCGUGGGGCCCCAGCUACGCGUGGGCCACUCAGUCCUUCGCCACGCCCGGUGGAUCAUCCUCGUGGACUCUGGUGACAGUCUAGGAGAUAAAACCUACGAGAACAAAAUCCAAACCCAAAGCUCAUUGUCGAAUCUAGUCGGCACUUAUCUGAAAUUUCUCAUUUCGCUUUAUAGCACCUGAGUAAACGGCAUGAAUACUAACACCCUUGCCAAAUCGUAUGCGAUAAGGGGUUGAUGGAAUGGUGAACCUUCAGAUACAAAAAAAUUUCCAUCUGGGAGGGUAUGUUUCAGAGAAGUCUUCGCUUUUUCAGACGAAAGCCUGACUAAAAUAUUACAUUCUGUAAGGAGGGGAGUGCGAAUUUCAGUGAGAGAACACAUUUUCCCCCUCUUAGACAUCUUGAUUGACACCUUACUGAUAAAUUUGACUGACAGCUGAGUGACAGCGGACUUUUUUCUCUUGCCACAAGUUCCUUUACUUCAUAUUUACGUAACUCUAAGUAUUUGAGCUGAAAGCUAACGACUUUUAACACCUGCACAUUUGCUCAAUUUUUUCGAUUUUUUAAAUUUGUUUUGCAAUAAAUAUUCCCCAUCAUUAGUUAAAUAGUUAGUUAGUUGUUAAAUGCACGAACGAAUUAUUUCUGCCUUAUAUAUUGUUUUAUUUUUUUAUUAUUUUAAUUUCUCCUAUUUCACCUGAGUUAGUUUCAAAAGAUUUUACUCAUCAAUUUAUGAAAUUGGUGAGUCUGACUGCCAACUAACUUAGAUUAUUAUUAAGUAUCAGUCGUAAUUUAAAAUAGCCAAUACAACAUGUGAAAAUGCAAAUACAAACUAAUUUCUAAAAGGUAAAUUUCCUUGUUAUUUAAAACCAAGUGUUCCGAUUUAUUAAAAAAUUACCAUAAAAGUCCCUCGCAAGAAAAUACGAUUGCUUUCUUAUCUCCUCUUUGUCGCUGUAUACUAUUAGCUGAAAAUUUUCUUGACGAUGAACAAAGAUCUGUUUAGAAAAUAUGAGGGGAAAAACAUUUUUUUAAAAAGAAAAACUUUGGUAGGCUGAAUUGCUUCGUUGACGUAAGAGCGUAUCUUCAACUUAAACGCAAAUAUUGUGGUAAAGUCAUGGGGCAGGUUGUGCAUGACCGGAUUUCAUUGGGCGCAAAGCGGCUACUGAGAUUCAAGCCGGGUAGGAGCUGAGGAGGGGGGUUCUCCUUUUUAAAAAGAGAAAAAAAAGCCCAAUCACUGGUUCAUUUGAUUAUCACACAUUCAAUUAUAUUCAAUUCUAUUACCUAUGCCAUUUUACUCUUAACACGGUACUUUUCCGGAAUUUGUUCACCAGUGACUGAGAAUAAACAUAAACUAUAAUGCAUUGCAAUUGAGAGAAAAGUGUUUUCAAGUGCAUCUGACAGCCCUUCAAAAAACAAUGAAGUAUUUAAAAUAUAGCCAAUAAACGCUCAUUUUCAUAAUCAAAGGCACAGUAAAGUAUAAUACUCACAUACUUUUCCUUUUUUGCCCUAUGUGAAAAAAGAAAAGUGUGAGUAUACUAUGUUGAUACAACCUAAUAGUGGCGUGGCGUGCUUUGCGAUAUAUCGAUUGAUCCACCAUUUAAACCUAUAGAAAAGGAUCGAUUAUUAGGGUGUUCGCAGCGAACAUUCCUAAUAAUCGAUUCUCUACCACAGCUCAAAUGGAGAAGUAUCGAUAAUCGAUCAUUCACGCCUCGCCACUGCUUUCAUUUUGCAGGAGACUUUAACGCACGUUUAGGAAAGUUAUUUUUCCGUGCAUCGAUCUGCGUUGUGCAUGAUUGAGGGCUCGUCUUUCACUUCCUGGCUUCAUUUUCUUCCCCUUCAUCACAGUCAAUUGAUCAAACGAUCGACUUAAGAAUUGAUAACAGAAUAGGAAAUCUGUUCUUAUAAUCAAUGUUGACUUUAAAAAAAGUACUACAUGAAAAUGGAAUUUUCAAGAACAUUUAAAAAAAUGUAAAUUUUCUUGACAAGAACGUAAACAAUAAACUCACCCGAAUUCCUUUUUAAUAAAAGCCGAAAGGUAAAGAAGGUGUACUUUUGAAAAAUCAUUUCAGAAUUUUCGCAAAAGUUUUAUUUCUUUGAGAGUAAACUCUAAGUCUAAAACUAAAGUCACGAAUAUGUUCUUUGAACAUAUUCGUGAUUUUUGUUUAUAAAGUCUUAAAACAAAAUUAUUUCAGUGGAGGUUCAUUUUUAGAGAAUAAAUCAAGUUUCUCUGGAAAUGUUCGCAUACUUUGUUGGAAAGGUAUUAGUUCUUUUUUCAAAGAUUGAAUAUCAUGAAUUCCUAGGUGUGAAAUUAUACUUGCAUGCAAUUUUUCUUUUUUCUUUUUUCAAAUAGAAUGAAUAAUAAUUGUUAGUGUCCUCAGCUUGGGAGGAAAAACAUUUGUAAGAUUAUGAAUAACAAUUUUUGAGCAAGAAGCUUUGUUUAUUGUAGCAGCACAAGUACUCAAUUUUCAGCGCAAUAUUUAUGGAAGGGGGCCCUUUAAAAUGAAUAUUUUACAUGCAACGUCGUAGAAAAAGAGGGAAAAGAGAGAAAGCGAAUAAUAAAUUAUAAUUGAACGUAAUUUUCUAGGUUUAAAAUUUAGUUUUUAUGAUUUAGGUGUGCUUAUGUAGACACGUUUCUACUUAAAUAUAUGUCUCAUUCUUCUACAUACAUUGUAUUUGUCAGAGAAAAAAUAGUUCAUGUUUGCUUAAUCAAUCAUUGAAUUAAAGCAGAAACUGUUGAAUAUUUCGAAUCUCUUUCCCAUUUGAACUCUCUCCAAUUCUAUAUAUAUUGUGCAUAUAUUUGCGCUGUACUUAUUACUGUAUAUAUAUUUAUAUGAACACUAUAUUGAUAGGAAGGUAAAGAAAUUUUAUUUAUAUUUUGGCUAUCAUAAGCAAAAUUUCACACAGAAAGUGCGUUAUUGAUGUUUAACAAAGAGGCGCAAGUGAGUCAGGCAAAUACCUAGUUGUGAAUUGAAUUGAAUCGGAGUGAAAAUAACACAAACACAUCAAAAUUUGGGCUGCAAUUAUCUUGUAUAUUUCAGCUACUAUUAGUAAAAACUGUAACAAUAAUGGCGAGUGAGAACAUUGGGAACAAUGUAGAAAGAAAGGAACAAACUCAAUUAAGUACGGGCAAGUCUUCUUACGGGGAAUUGAAUUCUGCUAAGUUUGAGCUAAGUCUUAAAAUACGGUUUCGGGCAGGAACGAGUUUCGGUGAGGUGAGAAAACUAACCGUAGUAGGCAAUUGGGGCGGCAGGGUAGGCUCUGUAGGACCAGGUGCUGUAGGGGUAGGCGGCGUAGGG